rnacentral:lncRNA from 1 species
UAUUUAUUGCUUUAAAAGUUUAAAAAGGCAAAUGAAGCAUUUUAAAAAUAACACAUUUACAUUUUAAAAAACUAAGGUAAAUGCAUAUUUAACUGGUACACCAGUGUUAGGCUACUAGUUAUAGUUACUCUUGUCUAUAUUUUGUGAUAUUUUAUAAAAGAAAAAUAAAAACAAACACCAAGGAAAAUUUUGACCCUUAUUCCUCUCACCUCAAGCCCUAAACAAGAUAAGCACACAAACCUCUUUUUUUCCUGAUCUUAAACAUACUUUAUGGAAGGUUAUUGAACACAGGACAAGAAAAUCGCAUCUAAAAUGACUUGGAAUUCUGGGGACAUUCUUGGCUAAGACACCCAAUCAUAGGAACAGCCC